UACGUAGGGUGCGAGCGUUGUCCGGAAUUAUUGGGCGUAAAGAGCUCGUAGGCGGUGUGUCACGUCGUUCGUGAAAACCUGCAGCUUAACUGUGGGCGUGCGGUCGAUACGGGCAUCACUGGAGUUCGGCAGGGGAGACUGGAAUUCCUGGUGUAGCGGUGAAAUGCGCAGAUAUCAGGAGGAACACCGGUGGCGAAGGCGGGUCUCUGGGCCUUACCUGACGCUGAGGAGCGAAAGCAUGGGGAGCAAACAGG
rnacentral:rRNA from 1 species